CAGUCUGAAUCUUCCUGUCGACCACGCUCCAAACAGCAGCAUUUACAUAUCAGUCAUAUAUCCUCUCUGCCACGGCAACAUCAGUGCCAAGAUACACACUUGACCUGCUUAUGUGCUUAUAUCCUCUGGCUGGCUUUUCAUCAAACAGGUUUUCCAUUCAAGCGUACAAGUUCAGGCCAGGUGUGUGCUUAAGGGAUGGCCUCCACAUGCUGGAUCAUGGCUCCUGGUUCCCUCCGGACCCAGGGAGUCUGGAGCGCUCCGAGGCCAGGCUUUAUGCCACCUUUCCUGGCUCUGACUGACGCCAGAAGAGGGCUGGGGAGAGACUGGCGCCUCACCGCCAAUUAACAUCCUCUCACACCGAGAGCAUGGCCAGGGGAGGACCACUACAUGGAGACAAUUCUCAAGAACAUGAAAACCACAGAAAAGAAUGGAUGAAAGUUUGGAUUUGCCUUCCAGUUUUUGUGAUUCCUUCCUGUUCUGAGUCAGUUGACGGAGGUGAUCUUGCAUGCAAGGGUGCUUCUGGAAAACCAGACUCUGGAGAGGAGAGACUCUUUGGUACAAGAGAUUAGAGCGGGUGCUGCCUAGCAACUGAAUAAAAAUGGCAGCUACAAAAGGGGCGCUCUCACUCUCCAACGUCUGACCUACAUAAUCCCAAGCCUCUGAUCGUGCAACAUAACAACAUGAUGAAAGGCCUGCUGUGAUUUAACCCUCAAACAAAUACUUGCCAUCACUGACCCCCUAGCUCAAAGAGCGAUCUCGCCUGCUGCAGAACACCAAAGGGUGACUUCUGAAAUCUUGACGGUGCCUAAUUAGAAAGGAAGAAGAGGCCGUGAACACUAUUGGAAAUGAGAUGAAUGUAUUUGAGGAGAUGGCAGCAGAGUGGCAAAGGAGAUUAACAGUGAUCACAGCAAUGCUGUUGGCUUCAGAGAGCGAGAGCGAGCGGCGGAACCUCCCUCUGUUCACUGAUUCAUCUCUCCUUCAGCCACAGGCAGACAGAGCACAGGAAUGAGUACAGAGGGAUGAGAAAGCUUUACUUCUCUGUCUUCUGCUUAUUGAUCAAAGGACAUGAAAAAACACACGGGGAAAAAAAAUACAGCAAAAAGCUGGAAACUUUUUCUUGAAACUUUCUCCUCCUGUGCCAUGUUCUUAAUAUAAUCUGAAUGGCCCUCAGUCCUUCUUUACCUCAUUUGUUGUGCCACAGCUCGUUUUCCUCCAUUCUGACCUAUCUGCACCUUUGACCUCUUUGACAUUUCAUUACUCCACUUAAUUUGUUCAAAGUAUGGACGGUAGGCACAUUAGUAUCGUUAUUUUCUUUAACCGAUAACCGAUUAAAAUUAAUUUAUUUAUACAAAUGCACUACUUUGGCUCUAAUGCCGCUGCCUGUCUGUAGUCUGUAGUCUCCACUCCGUCGUCUGCAGCACUGUCCCGCCCACAGCACGAUCUGAUUGGUUAUACGUCACGAGUAAUAGCCUAUCACGCUGAAGGCUGCUGUGUCCACAGACUGGCACGGACGAGAGAAGCGUCGGUUAGUAAGCGGAGCCGUAUGUCGAAGGCGGGAGAGCAGCAGGGUACUACUGGCUGUCUGAUUGGAGUCCGGUUGCGAGGAGUGCUGAGCUGUGUGAACUCUGGUGCUCUCUGACUGCUGCAUUUUCAUGGAAAGCAUCUCUUUGGGGG